UACGGAGGGUGCAAGCGUUGCUCGGAAUUACUGGGCGUAAAGAGCACGUAGGCGGUUUGGUAAGUCCGAUGUGAAAGCCCACGACUCAAUCGUGGAAGUGCAUUGGAUACUGCUAGACUUGAGUACAGGAGGGGUGAGCGGAAUUCCAGGUGUAGAGGUGAAAUUCGUAGAUAUCUGGAGGAACAACGGUGGCGAAGGCGGCUCACUGGAUUUUAACUGACGCUGAGGUGCGAAAGUGUGGGGAGCAAACAGG
rnacentral:rRNA from 1 species